rnacentral:lncRNA from 1 species
AUAAAUAAUGUGCUUGUGAUAUUUCAGGUUUCUGCUGCUGCUUUGGCUCAUGUGAUUUAUAGAAAUCCCGAUCUAAAAUGUUUGAAAGCAAGAGGCUGUAGGCAUUUGCUAGUAAAGGAAAGUAAGACGGAAGAGAGAAACUUGCCUGCUUUAUUGCGUACUCCAAAAGAGUGGUACUCUGAGCUUGGCAAGUCCUGCAAAUUGGACGAGAUUCAACUUGGAUGGGGUUUUUCAUCUCUUUAUAUGGAAGCACUUAAACCGGCAUUUAGAACAUUAAGAACGGUAGUUGUUGGUUUAGGUGGAUCCUUGGGCCAAGAUGGGCUGAAGCAGUUAUCAGAUAUCUGUCCUUUGAUUGAGACCAUGGUUCUAUAUUUUCAGGUAAUGAUUGUUUAGGAGAUAUAAUUAAUGUCAUCCGUAGCAAAUUAUCCGAUCAUCAUAAUUGAUGAGUGUUGAUUGCAAGCUUUGCAUAAAAUGUUCAAGAUUUAGGUUGUAUAUUUUCUCUUGACCAGCAAGAGUGAGACAACAGUGGAACUAAAACGGUAUAAGAAUAGAAAUAUUAUACUCAUAGGAACUAGGUCUUGGCAUUUUCUAGUUUGCUCAUUGGUACUCUCUCUCUCUCUCUCAUAAUUCUUUUAUCUCCCAGCAGCAAAAGGCAACUAUCAUUGAACAUCACUUAUCAGUUAAAACCUCUCACGUGAACCAUAUGUUUCUGAUGAAGUUGGAAGCUUUGGUGAUCUCCUGAUCACUAGAGUACAAUUUAUGGAGCUUUUUCGGUGAUCGUUUUUAGUUAUAUGAUAUACUAACUGAUGCUUGAAGCCAUGCACUAAUACAUUGUCUGAUGUUAACAGGUGAUAACUGAUUCUACUAUAAUGCAUGUUAUGAAAACCUUGUUGCAGUUGCAAGUCUUGGCUCUAUCCUAUUGCAUUGGUGAGAUUUCAUCAUUAAGCUUUAAGUUCUUGAUGCCGAAUCUGAAGAACCUGAAACUUGAAAGAGUAACACCAUGGAUGUCAAAUGAAGAUUUGGUUAAUCUGACACAGAAUUGCCCCAAGUUAGUCAAGCUUUCAUUGACAGGGUGCACAAUGCUUAAUUCAGGCGAGUAAUUUCUACCUGAUAACCAGUCUGUAGAAAUUUCAAUGACACUAAAUGCAAUUUUCAUGCAGUGUGACUCUAAUAAGAAUUCUUAUGCUCUGAGUUUCAUAAGCUGCUGUAUAAUCGAGAAUUAAUACUCGUAUAUCAUUUUUUAUUAUAUACAUGCAUCCUUUUGUCUGGGGAUGACUGAGUGAAGUGAUUUGAAUACUGGCUAAAAUAAUAAUAAAAACUUUUCCUUUCCCUUGUUAUGUUCUUUUCAGAAUCCCAAGAUAUUAUUUCAAGUGGUUGGCCAGGGUUGAUAUCCAUUCAUCUUGAGGUUUGCUGUCACCAUUUUCUCUUGGGAUGCCUUUUUAUUAUUUUUUUAAAAAGAUAUGUAGAUCUUACAUUUGCUACCAACUUUGCAAGAGGAGGAUAAAGACUGAAAUACUAUUAUCUGAUAGUAAAUUUGCUAUUACUUUUUUUGUUUUUGCAUACACCUAAGCAGAUGACCUAAACAAUAUUAACAGUUUUGUGUAACCCAAUUCCUGACUAAGGGCAGAUUUUCGACCCCUUUUUUUUUUUCCCUUAUUUUUGCAACCUCUUGCUACAUCUCUAAAAUUUUCUUCUAUACCUGUGAUUCACCCAAUUUUAUUGAGUGUAGAGGAUGGACAAAGUAGCAAUUAAAAAUUAAAACUUGUCUAAACUUGAGGGGCAUGUUGAAGACAACAUUAAAUGAUAUAAAUUGUGUCCUUAUCUAAUAGCUUAAGCAUUUAGAUCAAGCCGUUUAACAUGGUGUCACAUCAAGCAAAGGUCAGUCAAGUCUCGGCUCUGUCCAUUUAAAUGAAUUGUCCACAUGUUAAGUUUUGAUGGACGUGUUGUCGAUGGUAUUUGAAUGAUAUAAAUAUGCCCUAUCUAACAAUUUAAGCUAUUAGAUCAAGUGGUUCAACAAUAAUGAUUGCUGCUGUUAUUUUCCAAUUAGAUUCACCACCUUUCAUAAAGAGAAGUUUUCUAACCUCUUUCAAAAUUCCAAAAUGUGAAAGAAGAACUGUUUUAUAAGUUCAAAAUCAACAAAGAAUUUAAAGUUUUCUGAACAUGCAUGUGAGGGUCUUCAAUUACAAGAGAAGUUCACAGGGAGAGGUGGUCCAUAAUUUGAUCAAGAACGAACCAUUUUUGAUAUGUGCCAGUCCUCUUGCUAGUGAGCACUCAUGUACCAUUAAAGAUUAAGAAGCAAAAUGGAUCAAAGGAAAGAGGAGGUAACAAAGUUAAAAUCAUGAAGUUGGUAAGAAGCAAAAGGGAAGAAAUUACUGCCUGAAGUUGGCCUUGGGCCUUCUUUGAAUCUGAAUUAUAUAAUUCUUUUUUCAUUUAGGGAAUAGAAUCCUUCCUUGAAAGUCAUUUUGAGUUCCCCCAAAGGAUUUCUCCAGUUGUCAAUUACUAUAACUUGCACAAACAGCAAACAGGCAUUCUCUUUGUUGGCCACUAUAUACAUCUACAGGGUACUUUAUCCCCUGAAGUUGGCAUUUGGUAUGCAAGAGCAUAUGCACAGUAUAGGAAUGGACUUGUGAAAUGAAUGAAGAUGGGAAUGAAAUGCAAUAGACAUGGGAUAUCUCAUGUUUGGUUUGUCUAGGAAUAAGAACAGCAAUGGGAUCAGGUUCCACAUUUUUGAUUUCUUAUAUUUGGUCUGUUAUGAAGCAUGGUAAUGAAAUACAGAUUGUGAAAUGGCUAUGCAUACCUUACUGAAAUUUUAUAUUUUAAGCAUUAAUUCAUGUAAUUGGGAAAAUAAUGUCACAUGUCAGAAUUUGAAAACACGUUGCAUUCCAGAUUAUCUAGAUGCUUACGCUGGAUGGAAUGCCAUGAGCCUACUCGAUAUCUUCCUUGCCUGCUUCACUAGAGGGGGAAAAAAUAGGGAGAGGAAGAUAAAUAUUUUUGAAUCUUUCUUCUGUCAAUGGUUGAACCUUCUUGCCCAUGCUUCUACAAGAAGAAGAAGAGAAGCCUAAUCAGACACUAAACUACAGUUACCUUACUGAAGACUCAAAAGAAAAAAUUGAAGAUUAGAUUUUUGAGACAUCUGAAGAUCAAAUUUGCAGAUUCAAUGCUUAAUUCCAUGGUUCUUGAGUUCAUGCUCUCUCAUAUUUUAAUAAUAUCUUCUUGGUGGUUAUUUUACAUGUUCUUUCUAUUGAGAAUGUUUAUACGAGUGUAGUUCAUCUUCUAAGUUGCUUUCUCACUAUCAUAAAUUCAAUGUCUUUUAUGGAAUUUACACCAACAUUAAGGAGGAGGAGCCAAAUCGAUAGAAAUUAAAACCUGAAAUUGGGAAGAGAUGCAAAAGUUUGGCGGUGUUGAAAUUUGUUAAAAAACGGGGGUUCCAUUUUUGUGAAAGAGACCAUAAUUAUAAACCCCACCAAAAUGAGAGCAGUAUCUACGAUAUAGGAUGAAGUGAAUAUAAAUAUUAUUUCAUUCAUUUGAUUGAUGUAUUUCAUCAUCAGUUCUUAUCCUUUUCGGUAUCUUUGUAACAGCGCAUGUUAUUUGUUGUUUAGGACUGUGGAGAAGUAACAACCAAUGACGUUGUAUCUCUUCUGGACUGUCAUGCCCUUGAAGAUCUUAUGCUACGUCACACUGUGAGUCUUCAACACUGGUUUUUUCUCAUGUGGUGUGGCUUGUUUUAACUUUUGGAGGCUAGAUAAUUAACUUAAUUCUAAUUAGGGGUGGUUGCAAUCUGAUCCUAUUAUCCUUCAUUAUAGUUACCAACUGGUUCUCUGCAAAAGAUGAUGAAUUUGAACUUUCCCGUUUUUGCCUCCUUCGGUUUCUUUUUCUUUUUCCUUCAAACAAAAUGAAUAAUUGGACAGCAAAUGUACGACCCGAAGAAAUUACAAGACAAAAUACUUCAUGUUUCCUGUUUCCUGUCCUCCUAGUAUUAUGUGGCAUAUAUUAGGGAUGAACUUUUUGGUUGGUAUAACCUGAGAUCUCAAUCUAGGUAGCAUUCCUUUGACAAGGUACAUAAUGUUUGGAUUUAUAUAUUAGGCAAUCUUUAGUAUCGCAUAAUAGAUGAUAUAUAAGCACAAGAUUGUGAUGAAGACUACCAAUUGCUUGGACUUCGAUUCAGAGUAUGACAGAGAUAAUACAAAAUAUCCCUUUCUUUUCCUCUUCAACCCCUUAACUCCAACCCUAUCACACCCACAACACAGACAUCAAACUGCAAGGUAUAUACAUUAUACUAGUCCUAAUAAUAUAUCGGCACCUAAAAACACUGAACUGUUUUCAAUUUUGUGAAGUUCCAUUCAAUUAUUAUGAUCUCACUAGACAUUUCAUCAAACACUAAUUUCGAAUUCUUGGUCUACCUACAAAAUUCGAAGCUUUAUUUUUGUGAACUAGCAACUUGCUGAUUCUGGAGUGAAUUGUGCUUUAAAUAUUUAGGGCCCUGGAAUUACGAGAAAUUUCAUCAUUUAUGCUGCUUACAAGGUAAUUAUGGCUGCUCACAUGGAAUUACCGUAUUUGGACAUUGUUUUUUCUCAAAUUGUUUGAAGUUCCCCGUUUUAUUGUGUAUUUUUGGUGCCUGCAGUUACCAAUGCUUCGAAAAAUAUCACUUGAUAGAUGUGAUGCAAGGGAUGGAGACUUUGACAUUCCAAAUGUAAGAAAUCUUCUUGGCAUAUUAUAAUUUCACCCAUUACCAUUAUGUAGAUGCAAAGUGUUUGACAAACCUGUGAAACUUCACGUGAAAGGCGUUAUCAUUUCAUGGUGCAGUCAUUAUGUAUUUCAUUAUUUCCUUAAUAUAAUCCGGGGGUUUUUGAAGCUUAUAUUCUUGUAUCUUGUGGUUUGGGUAGAAUUGGAUUAGGAUAAAAAGUGAUUAGUUCUACGGUUAAUUAGGCUUUUUAGUAUUGCUAGUCUACAGAAGAAAUAUUAAUCCAUGUUGGACAACUAGAAUUGUUUUCAUUAAGCAACAAAAAUAACAUCACUAAUUGCAUUAACGUGUAAACUUCUUGUUUAUCCAGGUAUUUAUAGUGAAUGUUAUCUUACUGAUAUUACGGACCUGCUCCAGUGUGAUGACAGGUACUUCUUAAGUAGUGUGAAGAUUGCUAGAUGUAAGCUUCGACCCUGCACCUUUGACCUUCAUAAUCCGGAGGGCCGGAGAACCCCCGUGCAUAAAGAAACUUUAAUAUUGGAGUGGAACAGUGAAAAGCUCACAAGAAUUGUGGUGAAGGAAAGACUUUAAUUUCCACGCUUGAAAUCAGAUAUAACAUCUAUGGAAACACUGUGAAGCAUAUGGAAUGCACAAUGUGUUACUGUACAUUAUUUCGACUCCUGCACUCUAAAAGCAUGUUGGAUAUCACUUGGUCUGUAAUAGAUAAUGUUAAUUUAGGUCUUAUAGUAACAUGAAACUAUGUCAUGUUCAGUAAAUUUGAAAAAAAGAGUUAAAAAUUGUUUGUUUUUGAAUAACAUUAUGAUUUUUUUUACAAGGUGCUUUUACUUUGG